GAUGAACGCUGGCGGCGUGCCUAAUACAUGCAAGUCGAGCGAACGGACGAGAAGCUUGCUUCUCUGAUGUUAGCGGCGGACGGGUGAGUAACACGUGGAUAACCUACCUAUAAGACUGGGAUAAUUUCGGGACACCGGAGCUAACACCGGAUAAUAUUUUGAACCGCAUGGUUCAAAAGUGAAAGACGGUCUUGCUGUCACUUAUAGAUGGAUCCGCGCUGCAUUAUCUAGUUGGUAAGGUAACGGCUUACCAAGGCAACGAUGCAUAGCCGACCUGAGAGAGUGGUCGGCCACACUGGAACUGAGACACGGACCAGGCGCCUACGAGAGGCAGCAGUAGGGAAUCUUACGCAAUGGGCGGGAGCCUGACGGAGCGGCGCCACGUGAGUGAUGAAGGUCUUCGGAUCGUGAAGCUCUGUUAUUAGGGAAGAACAGCUGUGGAAGUAACUGUGCACAUCGUGACGGUACCUAAUCAGAAAGCCACGGCUAACUACGUG
rnacentral:rRNA from 1 species